AAAAAUUAGAAAGUAUCACAGCUACUGUACUUGGUCAUGCAUUGUGCCUGGUUUUUGUAUUUUGGGAUGGAAUCAGAGUUUCAUUAUGUCUUACUGAACGAGAAAGUCAGAUUUCUUUAAUAUACAUGUAAGUGGUACAUUUUACCAUGCUUUGGCAUAAUUUGCCAAAAUUCAGGGUUUAAACGGGAUACUUCUUGCCAGUCCAGACACUCACCGGAUGUGUUCUCAGAAAACAACUUAUGAAGAAGUACUUGUAUACCGCACAUAGUUUGUUCAAGAUUGUCAAGAGUAUAGAAACUUGUAAUUUGCAUUCUGGGAAAAUUGAUGUUUGUAUAUAAACAUGAAGUUCCGUCGUUUGCAGUCAUUUGAUUUUGGAAUGGAUCUCCAUGUAUUUGAUGGCAUACAUCAUGUCAGGCACACAUUGAAGCGUGCAUCAAAUGCGAUGGUUAGGCCACCCUCUAUCCACUUAAUAGAUGUUAAAAUAACCCCUGAGGGGGAGGUAGAAACAGUGCUACCAGUAACACCAGAUGAGGAGGUGAGUACUGCAAAAUAAAAUCAGACAAUGUGACAUUUUACUUGAAUGCAUGAUUACUAUUACUCUUUGCUCUAUUUUCUUUCAUGUUUGUUUCUCUUAAGUUUGAAAUGUGUUUUUUAAAUUAUGCUUUGUCUUACUUUCAGAUUAAUUUUUACUUCAGACAUUCCACAUUGAAUUCUAAAAGAAAUGUGAUGGUCAACCUGCAUGACAAGAAUGUAUUAUUUCCUUGUGUGGUCAAGAGACUUAUAUAUUUAAGAAGAUGUCCACCACAAGGAAGAAUCUUCCAGCCAAUUGAUUUACUUUACUAAUGCUGACAGCAAUGUUAAUCUGAUCAGGAAGCUUUGAAAGAUUGUCUCUUUUUAUGUUCAACUGCAAUAUAUGUGGGCAGAAACCUGAAAAUUUUAAAAAGUUGAAAUGGAGGAAAGAAAGGAUUUUGUAAUCCAUAUUUCUUUGAUGACUUGCAGUAGAACAACCA